AAUGGGAAGCAAGGCUGUAAGGCGGAGCGAAUCCGGAAAGAUUGCCUCAGUUCGGAUUGUUCUCUGCAACUCGGGAACAUGAAGUUGAAAUCGCUAGUAAUCGCGGAUCAGCAUGCCGCGGUGAAUAUGUACCCGGGCCCUGUACACACCGCCCGUCACACCCUGGGAAUUGGUUUCGCCCGAAGCAUCGGACCAAUGAUCACCCAUGACUUCUGUGUACCACUAGUGCCACAAAGGCCUUUGGUGGUCUUAUUGGCGCAUACCACGGUGGGGUCUUCGAC
rnacentral:rRNA from 1 species